rnacentral:tRNA from 1 species
GGGUUUGUAACCCCUUUUUGUGCCCCUGCUAAGGGCGUAGGUCGGCUAAACCCCGGCGCGAGAGUUCGAGUCUCUCCAACUCCG